rnacentral:lncRNA from 1 species
GACCUGUGGUAGACACAGAGUCUGGAACACAACUCUUGAUUUCUACCCAAACCCGUAGUGACAAUAAAAACCUGUUGAUGUGAGAGAUGGGAAGGCUGUUGAUCUCUGCCCACAACUCAUGGCCUGACUCUCGAUUCCUAAAGCUUUUAGAUAAGCUUACACAUAAAGUGAGCCUAUUUGCACACAACAGCUCCCCGCAGGGAGGUGGGAGAAUUUUUUUUUUCAUGGUUUGGAAUGGGCACACAUAGGUUUCUAGAUGGUAGCCACAAUAGUCACAGAGAUACAUUUCAAGGUCAGGGUUUGUUAGAUGCCAGGGCUUUGCCCUCUUAUAAAGCUAGCCAAGCGGUUUUCUUAAUAAGCAGCCACAGUCGCAGUGUGUGAUGGAGGACUUUACUGGUACAGUAGGUGAAUGACAGGAGACCCCAAAUCAACAAGCCAUUAAUAGGUUCCUUUUUUGUUUUUGGAGAUAGUCCUAAUAGUUCUACAAAGUAUAAAAAAUAUUUUUUUAAAAAAGGAAAAAAGUUUAAAAAGAAAAAAAAAACCCAAACAAUUCCUAUAUAAACUUUCUGAUCAUUGCCAAGAUCAUUAUUCAAGAAUAUAAAUUAGUUCUGAGGUAUUUUAUACUAUGGGCUGGGGACUGAACACAGGAAAAUGACAUGUGGGUGACUUAAUAACGGCUCAUCUUUUUCUAGUGACCAUCUCACAGGAAUCAAUUGGCAGUUACAACAGCUGCACAUUAUUCAUAAAACAUCCAAGAUGAAGGUUACACUGCAGAAAAGAACUCGUUAGUAACGGCAUGCUGACAGGGCCUCAGAGCUCAGUGGGAUCAAAGGGACUUUUAAGGAAAUGUAUUUACCAUGGGCCUAGCUAACUGUUACCAUUCAUGGGAUCAUUGAGUUCGCUAAUUCAGUUUGAAGAGACGACAGGAUUGUUUUAACAUAAGAACUACCAAUGGGACAGUACAUAUAUAUUUUAAAGAGCUAUAGUAAUUCAAACUGAAGCCUGCUAUCAGUCAAAAAAAAAAAAAGACUUAAAAGUUAGUCGAAAAAAAAUACAUUUAACACUAGAGAGUUCUGUACUGAAGAAAAGAGUUUUUAUGACUUAAAGGAUACGUUGUUUUUACACAGUGGACAGCUGACAGUUUGUUCUCGGCACUGUGUUACGUGUCAUAAGAGACACCCUUGUUCAGAACCGGCUUCCUUGCUAUGGUUGGAAACACUAAGAGCAUUAGAGUCCUAUAGGCUGUUGACUGCACUGAUGCUGGCGGCCUCGGCACAGGCUUCCGAUGUGCGAGGCCGUGCUUAGACAUCCAGGACAUCGCUCCAGUCAGUCACAGUGACUAAGUUGCUCUUGAGUGUGCUCGGUUCGUUUUCAUGAAGUCCUGGAUGGGGAAGAGGAAGAAGAGGGGGGAUCUGAAGUUAAAUUAGGACAUUUUUAAUCCCAACUUCAGCUGUUUCUCACCUAGGGUCUGAAUCUUUUUCAAGCUUUGUCCCCCAAGCCCCUACAGGCUUUGGGAGAAGGCUGAUAGAAAACACGCCCACGAGUCGGCCACAUUUCUGCAUCUCCUCACAGGACGUGACCUGUGACCACCCGUCCUGAAGCACACAAGCUCCUGGAUGGCAAGGCCUGUGUCCUGUGCCCUGCUUCUCUCCCACUGGAGUCCAGCAGAGAGCCUGGAUGUUGAGGGUUCUCAGCACAUCUGUAUUGUGUUAUUAACUGUGGGCAAAUAGACUGUGCAGGAAAGGAACAUAAAACACUACACAUCAAGGCUAACCUCUAGUUUAAGAUCUAGAGGUAAAUGUUAAACAUAGGUUUUGCCUGGGUAGAAGAACUUAAUUUGAAGUUAAUUAAAAAAAGAGCCAUGGGAAUAGCAUGCUGUGGGGAAACUCCGUUCUAGUUUGAAUCUGGAAUGUUCUCUGAGGAAUGCAGGGUCCUGUCUUUGAGGCAGCCUCUUGGUUCUGUUCCUUACAAGGCACUGUAUCUCAAACAUCAUCUUGUUUUUUAACUGGAAUGGAUCCUUAGCAGAGAUAACUUCAUAAUGGCAGUGGUUUGCAGACAUGUUAUCAGGUGACAGUGUGAGAUUAACUGCAGAGCUGACGCUCUGGAGGGGAGAGUGGGGACAAAGUGGGACACAGAGGGCCUGCUGAAGACAGGAGACAUGACUAUGGAAUCUAUAGGCACUGGCAGAAAAUUACAAAUAAGGGCACAGAAUUCAUCCAGUGAACACAAGAGCUGCGAGGGACAGUGGUAGUGAACUCUCUCUGUCUUAGUAGGACAUCAGUACCUAACACCCAAGCUGUCAAGUCAAGAGUCAGGUUUGAGUCUCUUACUGAGAGAGUGGGAAUGGCUCACCACAUGCUAAAGGUGAUGAGGAAUACCAUGGAGGGGACUUUUUCUAUGUCUUCACAUUUACCAUGUACUAAGGUCACUCUGAUUAUCUGUGUGCCUGCCUGCCUGCCUGUCUGUCUGUCUAUCAAGCUGGCCAUGGUGGUGUAGCACAUGUGGAUAUAUUCUAAACAGCUGCUUGUGUUACUCAAUCUGACAAUCAGACUGUUGAAACAAUGGACUUCAGAGAACUGGUCAUUUCCCCAGGAAUCUCACGGUGGGAGAAGGGAAAGGCCCUGCCCCAGGAACAGAUGUUUAUUUAGGUCUUACAACCUGCCAGCCCAGGUUGCCUGAUGAGAUUCCAGACAAUAAUGGGCGAGUGGUGGGUGGGACCACACCUUAUUAAAUUCCUCAGCUGUGUAUUCUUGGCCCUGGAGGAUUCCUGGAGGAUUCUAAGAAGGACGUUCUCACCCACGAGGAAGCCCGAAAUAAUAAUUUCUGGGGGUGUCUGUGUGAAGAGAAUAUGUGUAGACAUUGUAAGGGGAAAAAAAAAACCCACAUCAGGGCGUUCAGUGAGAUGGUAGAGCAUAGCUACAAUGAUCUGUGCACCGAGGAAGAACGUUACCGGUUUCCAGAUGCGCCCAAUACCAUAAGGACUAGCAUCAUAUCUGAGUUGUAACGCUGUGUCAUUUGCCUUUAUUCUGUCUCUGUGCUCCACUCUGACCCUGUCAUUGCUGUGACAGUGAUCUGAUCAUGCUUCCGUCUGACGGGAUAAAAGGGUCAUGAGAGCAGACACUUAUAGAGCUGAAACACGUUGGGGCCGGAGAGCGAGCUCAGUCGGUACAGUGCUUGCCAGUCAACCGCAGGGACUUGGAUUGGAUCCACGGAACUCACGUUUUCACCAUGAGUUAGAGCACACUGCCUCCCCAGCACUGGGAGAGCAGGGAUGAGAAGCCUACUUGGUGAGUACCAGGCCAACGAGAGACCAUGUCUCUAAACACAAGGUGCACGGCUUCUCAGGAACAAUACCAAGCCUGACUGUGACCGCCAUGUGUGUGUGCAGAAAUGGGCACCCACAGGGACACACACACACUAAAGAACCACACCCACCGAUGUGUGAGGGCGAAACCCACCAACCUUCUUCCUUGAAUUCCCGAGGGUUCACUGGGCCCCAGGCCCUCUGCACCUGGGUGCAGCUGGGGUCCCGCUUGGCCGGAGGCGGCUCCCUCUGCUCUAUUUUACUCCCCAGAGACUUCUCUUCCUCUAAGGACGAUAUAUCCCAGUCCUCGUCAUCAGCAUCUGUGCACUGAAAGAGACGCAGAGAAGAAGGUGAGCUUCCUAAAGGAACGGCGCCCCUCCUGGUUUAGGCUGAGCAGCUGAUGCCAGAGGAUGAGUUGGGAAGGACACAGGGUGCCCAAACAGAGGCAGCUUCUCUGAGCCAUGAUGAGGAUUUGAAAACACAUCCUGAAAGCUACAAAUAUCACUUUAAAAAAAAUCAAUUGUGAAUUUAGAAAGUCCUAGACCACAAGGAUUGUAGGGGGAGGUAACUCUGAAAGUCAGGGUGAGAUAGGUCACCAAGGAGCCCUGCAGAGAGUGACUCCCCUGCCUCCGACUAGAAGAACCAUGAAACACACUUCUACCAACCCCUUUCCAAAGAGUGACCUGCUGUCUUGACCGAUGUCGUUUUCUUGGUUCGUGUUAGCACACAAACAAAGCAGUAACUAAAGAAGGAAGCGCAGCAGGGCCCUCGGCGUCCCGGGGAUGAACAGAAGAGGGUGGGUCAUCUACAGAAUUGAGGAGAAUGACUCGAAUUGGAGGACACAGUCUACACGGGAGCUGACCAGGGCAGCAACAGCCGAGCUCCACUCAAGACACUCUGGGGGUUAGAAAUGUCCCAGAACCCUCCAUCCUUCUUCUCCAAUGACUGACUCCCAGGUGGUGACAACCCUUAAAAGCCCCCAUCUUCUUCCAGGUGUCAGAAGAAUCCUUGAGCAACACGUGGAGGCUCCAGAUUGUAGUUCCAAAACACCUAACAUCUGCAGGCGUCAAACUACACGCAUGACGGAGCUGUGGACCCACGUGCAGUGUGAGACACAGACAGCAUGUCGUAGGCUACACAGUCCUCCCUGACAUACAUGGGCCACACGUGUUUCAAAUUAGAUAGGGUUUGGGGAUUGGGAAUAUUUGCAGACAUUUCAUGGGCUAUGAACAUCCCUAAUCUGAAAAUCCCAAAUCCAGUAUUAUCCAAACUCAGAAACUCUUUGUGGUUGCUUUGGGGUUUUUUUGUUUCUUUCUUUGUUUUCAAGAUAGGGUUUCUCUGUGCAGCCCUGGCUGUACUGGAACUCUUCCUGUAGACCAGGCUGGCCGGGAACGCAGAGAGAUCUGCCUGCGUCUGCCUCCCUGGUGCUGUGUGGGCCGCUCCACCAACCCUGGCAACUUUCUUGUGUGUGCUUCAGAUUUGAACCUCUAGCUCCUGCAGGCUCAACUGAGCUACAUCCAAGAUCUCCAAGUCUGGGAACUGUUAGUGGACGCCAGUGUUUACAAAGUUUAGCACUUUGGGGCUCAAAUUUCAGAUCUCACAUUGUUCAGUCCACACCUGCUGUCAGACAGCACAGACAGACUCCACAAUUGUCUACCUACAGAACCGAACUGUG